AUUGAACGCUGGCGGAAUGCUUUACACAUGCAAGUCGAACGGCAGCACGGGGCAACCUGGUGGCGAGUGGCGAACGGGUGAGUAAUACAUCGGAACGUGCCCAAUCGUGGGGGAGUAACGUAAGCGAAAGUUAACGCUAAUAACCGCAUACGAUCUACGGAUGAAAGACGGGGGAGUCGCAAGACCUCGCGCGAAUGGAGCGGCCGAUGUCAGAUUAGGUAGUUGGUGGGGUAAAGGCUCACCAAGCCAACGAUCUGUAGCUGGUCUGAGAGGACGACCAGCCACACUGGAACUAGAGACACGGUCCAGACUCCUACGGGAGGCAGCAGUAGGGAAUUUUGGACAAUGGGCGCAAGCCUGAUCCAGCCAUUCCGCGUGCAGGAUGAAGGCCUUCGG
rnacentral:rRNA from 1 species